UGCUGUGGGACAGACGGGGUUCAUCACUUGUUUGCUCAACACAUGUUUACAAAAUGCCCGGAUUGCGCCAGGUGUUGUGGGGAGACUAGGACACAGCAGCAACAAAGCAGCACCCUGCCUUCGUGCAGCUGGGACUCUGGUGAGGGCAGUCAGACAGUGGCACGUGCUGAUCUGUCUCCCCUGGCUACGCCUCCCUUGUGACAUCACAGAGACAAAAUCCCUCUCAGGCGGAGCCAGUAGUGCUCAGUGAGCAGCGCCCUUGCUCAAGAAGUUGGCUCCAAGCCCUGGUGCUAAGUCUGCUCAGAAUCCAAAGCUGGAGGAAUGAGUUCUCAGAGCCCUGCUGAGCAGCCCAAAGACUUGCCCGAAGGCUGGGUUUCUGCACCGGCACCACUGAGCAUCUACCCAGGAAGGACAGAAGAUGCUUUUGUGUUUGAAGAGGCCUGGUGGCUGCUGGGCGGGCAGUGAGCGGGCGGAGGCAGCUGCUACCACGGGAAGACAGGUGUGGAGACCUCUGGUCACUCAGCGAGAGAUGGCCGCUUGGACCAGUGUGGUGCAGGGGCUGUGCAGAGAGGUGAUGAAAAGGUGCUCGGUGAACCUCGGAGCAGAGAAACACGAAGAAACCGCAGUGUUACAGAGAAAGUACUGAAGCCCAAGAGAAAAGGUCGCAGUCAUGGUGGAGAAGCUUGGAUCUGAUUUGUGUUCCUUCCGGUAAUAAUUUAAAAUUCCUAACCUUGAGCAAAAAAAUUAAGGCACCUGGAGAACAGCCAGAGCAGGGAGAGACUGGUGGACCCCAUCCUUGAAGAAGGAAACUGUCCCAGGUGAUGGUCCAUCAGGUGCCCUGAGAAGAGGAGCCACAGGGGAGGAGCACCCAGGGAGGGGCUCAACCCAGCAGGUGGGGAGCAGAGAGUGAGGACAAGCCCACAGGCUAUCGACAGGCACAGGCACCCACAAAAGUCACCCAGCGGCCCACGCUGCCCUUUACGGAGAUUCUCCUAUCUCAGGUUCAAGGGCCUUUGGUCCAGUUCCGAGCACGAACCGCGACUGCGCCCACGCGGUCCCCGCAGCCUGAGGG